rnacentral:rRNA from 1 species
AUACGGAGGGUGCGAGCGUUAAUCGGAAUUACUGGGCGUAAAGCGCACGCAGGCGGUCUGUUAAGCUAGAUGUGAAAGCCCCGCGCUCAACGUGGGAGGGUCAUUUAGAACUGGCAGACUAGAGUCUUGGAGAGGGGAGUGGAAUUCCAGGUGUAGCGGUGAAAUGCGUAGAGAUCUGGAGGAACAUCAAUGGCGAAGGCAACCCCCUCGGCGAAACGAACUGACGCUCAUGUGCGAAGUAGUGGUAGGCGAACAGAGUUAGUAUACCUCGGUAGUCCACACCGUAACGACUGUCUACUAGCUGUUUGUGGA